rnacentral:rRNA from 1 species
AUCUGAUGAGUUGUGGGUAGGGGUGAAAGGCCAAUCAAACUCCGUGAUAGCUGGUUCUCCCCGAAAUGCAUUUAGGUGCAGCGUCGCGUGUUUCACUCUGGAGGUAGAGCUACUGGAUGGCCGAUGGGCCCUACAAGGUUACUGACGUCAGCCAAACUCCGAAUGCCAGGGUGUGAGAGCGCGGCAGUGAGACUGCGGGGGAUAAGCUUCGUAGUCGAGAGGGAAACAGCCCAGAUCGCCGGCUAAGGCCCCUAAGCGUGUACUAAGUGGAAAAGGAUGUGGGAUCGCUGAGACAACCAGGAGGUUGGCUUAGAAGCAGCCACCCUUGAAAGAGUGCGUAAUAGCUCACUGGUCAAGUGGUCCUGCGCCGACAAUGUAGCGGGGCUCAAGUACACCGCCGAAGCCGCGGCAUUCGCAUAACACACGCAUUGUCCUGCGGGAUGGUGUGCAGUGGUGUGGAUGGGUAGGGGAGCGUCGUGUGGCCGUGGAAGCAGCAGUGUGAACUAGUUGUGGAGGCCAUGCGAGUGAGAAUGCAGGCAUGAGUAGCGAAAGACGAGUGAGAAACUCGUCCGCCGAAUGACCAAGGGUUCCUGGGCCAGGUUAAUCCGCCCAGGGUGAGUCGGGACCUAAGGCGAGGCCGACAGGCGUAGUCGAUG